GGCUGAAAUUCGCCUUCAUGAAGCUGGAAUUGCUAGUAAUGGCAGGUCAGCAUACUGCCGUGAAUACGUUCCCGGGCCUUGUACACACCGCCCGUCACACCAUGAGAGUUGGGAAUACCCGAAGCCUGUGAGCUAACUUUUAGAGGCAGCAGUCGAAGGUAGAAUCAAUGAUUGGGGUGAAGUCGUAACAAGGUAUC
rnacentral:rRNA from 1 species